GCUGACUUUAUGAAAGUUGAUAAAUUUCAUCUUGUAGGUUUCAAUUUCUCAUUCCCUACCGAGAGACGGGGAGAAUACAUUGAUACUGCAUUUCAAAUUGGCUAGAUCAGAAGGAACAGCAGCUAAAAUCCAUUACAACCCAAUUACAUCCAUCAGCUGAAGCUGUGUGCAUUCACUCGUGAACAUCAGCAUUUAAUCCAUAAAGAGGAACUAAUGAGAAAUUUGAAAAUGGAAUCCACGCAUCAGUAAGUUUGGAGAGAUUUUUCUGGGAUUAAUGAUCUGCCAGAGCAUCUUCAACAUGCUGGAAAGCUAUUCUCUCUGGGUUUGUUUACUGACCAAGAGAAAAAAAUAAGGGGGUUUCCUUCUGUCUACUCAUCAAAUAUUUGAAAGACUUGACUCAUCUUAGUCCUUGAAAACGGGAUGUCGUGUGCUUUGGAAAUAAGGAAAUUUGAUGCUUACAAAAAACAUAGAAGAAUGGAGUCAGGGGUUGCCACAGCAUUAAAGAAUCCAAGGACAAUGGUCACAGCUGCAAUCCAGACGCCAAGAAGCUGCAGCUGCUGCUACUUCGGCUGCGCAUGUAACUGCCUCUCAAUAGUUUGGGCAGAACUGGUGACGAGACAAAAACGGGAAGUAUGCUACAAGUAAGCACACACAUCAUCUUUAUCUUGCUUGCUCACAGGGAAAAAAACAAAACAAGACAAAACAAAACAAAAAACAAAAAAGCAGGAAACUGCCCUUGCCUUUAUGACCCUACAUGGUAUCCAUACUAGCAUGUUAGCUAAAACCCAGCCACCUCCCAAUCCCAGCUGUGGGUGAGUCUUCCAAAUGUACUUUUCUCUAUAGUCCAGAAGAAGCAGGGAUAUGAGGGUGGGAAUGGUGGUCAGAAUGCCAAUUGGCAAUGUCUGGCACACAGGCCAAAGGAGCAACCUUAUCCCUCAAAUCUCAAAAAUGUCUGCUCUUGAGAAAAAUAAAUUUGAAAAACAAAUGACA
rnacentral:lncRNA from 1 species